CAGCCGCCACGGUAAUACGAAGGGUGCAAGCGCUAAUCGGAAUUACUGGGCGUAAAGCGUGCGUAGGCGGUGAGUUAAGUCUGCUGUGAAAUCCCCGGGCUCAACCUGGGAAUGGCAGUGGAUACUGGCUCGCUAGAGUGUGUCAGAGGAUGGUGGAAUUCCCGGUGUAGCGGUGAAAUGCGUAGAGAUCGGGAGGAACAUCUGUGGCGAAGGCGACUAUCUGGGCCAACACUGACACUAAGGCACGAAAGCGUGGGGAGCAAACAGGAUUAGAUACCCGCGUAGUCCCUGUCUCUUAUAC
rnacentral:rRNA from 1 species